CCUACGGGGGGCAGCAGUGAGGAAUAUUGGUCAAUGGCCGGAAGCCUGAACCAGCCAAGCCGCGUGAGGGACGAAGGUGCCAAGCAUUGUAAACUUCUUUUGUCAAGGGACAAAAUCAGGCUCGCGAACCUGACCGCGGGUACUUUACGAAAAAGCACCGGCUAACUCCGUGCCAGCAGCCGCGGUAAUACGGAGGAUGCGGGCGUUACCCGGAUUUAUUGGGGUAAAGGGGGGCGUAGGGGGACUGUUAAGUCAGCGGGAAAAGCCCGGGGCUCACCCCCGGCGAGCCGUUGAAACUGGGUGUCUUGAGAGGGCGAGAGGUAGGCGGAAUGCGCAGUGUAGCGGUGAAAUGCUUAGAUAUUGCGCAGAACUCCGAUUGCGAAGGCAGCAUACCGGAGGCGAUCUGACGCUGAGGCACGAAAGCGUGGGUAUCGAACAGGAUUAGAUACCCUAGUAGUC
rnacentral:rRNA from 1 species